UAUACCGCCCGUCGGCCGGUCGCCGUGGCGACGAGGGUCCCGGUCGGCGAUUGGCCGAGCGUUUGAUGUUUUGCGGCGAGAAGUGCUGAGUGGGCCGGGCCGGGCCGGGCCGGGCCGGGCCCCCCUCCCCCCCUAUUAUGAUUGGCAGCCGGUGUUUGUGCACUGAAGCUUCUAGCGUCCGGCUUGCCAGCUCGCCAUUCUAGUGCAGCGCAGCGCCACGCCGGCCCACAACAUAACCCAUGUGCGGGGUCAACUGGUAAGAACGCUCGCGGGGAUUCGGGGGGCGCAUUUAUCGUUAUUAUUUUAGCCGCCGCGCCUUUCUGCCUCAAGUGCGCGGGCGCGAGAUAGAUUGCGUUUUUUUUGGCCAAUCACAUUUCUGAUGCCUUGUGUUGCCAUGACGAUGCAAUCCGCCCGGGGCCUCGACGGCAACCGGUGGCGCCGGCACAGGGAAGUCAAAGUAUAUUCGCAAUUUUAUCAACGUCGAGCAGGCGGGACUUUUCCUGUCUUUCGAUUGGAUGUUCAGAGCAAACGGAGAGAAGUUCUUAUUUGAAUCCCAAACAUUCUCAAAUAAGUGAGGACAUACUGUCAAUUUGUGUUUUCGGGGGUCCCCCCUCCCCACAAAAAUAAAAAAGAAGCCAUCUAUCAAAAGGGAAGGAUGCCGGGAAAAGGACGCCACAAGUUGAGAAACGGACCCGCGCGCAUUUGUAGUCUCCUGAGCCUUGAAAACGCGUCUCGGAGGUCGCGCUGCGUUCGGGGGAAGGGGGAGGGGAGGGGAAAAGCCGACGUCAGCAGUUGACUUUGAUGGGAAUACACCAGAAGCGGGCGGGCGGGCGAGCGAGCGGGCGACGGGGGGAAGUUCUUGCGCCAGUGACCGGAGCCGCUGCCUCGUGCAGGUUUCCAAAAGGAACGCUGCUGAGGAGCUGGCUGACCAAGUCCAGGCCCCGCCUCCUGCUGCUCAUCGCCGGCCUCAAGCGACCUCAGGUGACCCUGAUGAGGAGGAAGAGGAUGAAGAGAACCAAAGUAGCCAAGGCCACGUAAGCGGACGUGCAGCAGGACGCCCCACUUCGCCUGAGGCCGCGGCAAACCACCCGCGAGAUGGCUCCCCGCCGACUUCUUCUGUGUCGUCAAAGCUGUUCGUGCUGCUGACGCCAGAAAAAGUCCAAACGUUGACCUUGAAAGGGACACGCCAGUCAGCUAGCUAGCUAGCCUGCUAACGUCUUUGUGUUUGGAAGCAUUCGCUCAUUCUCCAACCAAAAAAAAACAAA